rnacentral:sRNA from 1 species
GCUGGGUGUGGUGGUGCACACCUGUAAUUCCAGCCACUUGGAAGGCUGAGGCAGGAGGAUCGAAAGUUCAAACCGAACCUCAGCAACUUGCUGAGGCCCUAAGUAACUUAGUGACACCUGCCUCAA